AAAUAAACAAUUCUAUCAAAUAUCACAAUUAUGUUAGGUGUUAUAAAAUAAAUUAUCCAGUUCUCAGGAAUUAAAUUCUGUUUUUGUUAAAUGAAACACCAUUUUCUGUCAUGGCUUUUAUAUCCAAUUGGAUUUUUUUCUUAAUUUAAAAUACAAUAUUUCUCUCAAACAUAUUCUGAAGAUAAUGACUACAAUCUUCAUUUUUAUCCAAUAAUAAGAAUCAAUAAUGUUAAAUAAUCAUUUAUCCAAAAAA
rnacentral:lncRNA from 1 species